GUGUGGUAGGGGCAGAGGGAAUUCCCGGUGUAGCGGUGAAAUGCGUAGAUAUCGGGAAGAACACCAGUGGCGAAGGCGCUCUGCUGGGCCAUAACUGACGCUCAUGGACGAAAGCCAGGGAGCGAAAGGGAUUAGAUACCCCUGUAGUCCUGGCCGUAAACGAUGAACACUAGGUGUCGGGGGAAUCGACCCCCUCGGUGUCGUAGCCAACGCGUUAAGUGUUCCGCCUGGGGAGUACGCACGCAAGUGUGAAACUCAAAGGAAUUGACGGGGGCCCGCACAAGCGGUGGAGUAUGUGGUUUAAUUCGAUGCAACGCGAAGAACCUUACCAGGGUUUGACAUCCUGCGAAUCCCUUGGAAACGAGGGAGUGCCUUCGGGAGCGCAGAGACAGGUGGUGCAUGGCUGUCGUCAGCUCGUGUCGUGAGAUGUUGGGUUAAGUCCCGCAACGAGCGCAACCCACGUCGUUAGUUGCCAGCAUUCAGUUGGGCACUCUAGCGAGACCGCCGGUGAUAAACCGGAGGAAGGUGUGGAUGACGUCAAGUCAUCAUGCCCCUUACAUCCUGGGCUACACACGUACUACAAUGCUACGGACAAAGGGCAGCAAACUCGCGAGAGCUAGCAAAUCCCAUAAACCGUGGCUCAGUUCAGAUCGUAGGCUGCAACUCGCCUACGUGAAGGAGGAAUCGCUAGUAAUCGCAGGUCAGCAUACUGCGGUGAAUACGUUCCCGGGCCUUGUACACACCGCCCGUCACACCAUGGAAGUUGGCCACGCCCGAAGCCGUUACUCCAACCCUUGUGGAGGAGGACGUCGAAGGUGGGGCUGAUGACUGGGGUGAAGUCGUAACAAGGUAGCCGUACCGGAAGGUGCGGCUGGAUCACCUCCUAA
rnacentral:rRNA from 1 species